rnacentral:rRNA from 1 species
GGACUACACGGGUUUCUAAUCCUGUUUGCUCCCCGCGCUUUCGUGCCCGAGCGUCAGAUGGCGGCCAGGGCGCUGCCUUCGCCGUCGGUGUUCUUCCGGAUCUCUACGCAUUUCACCGCUCCACCCGGAAUUCCGCGCCCCUCUCCGCCCCUCAAGCCCGCCCGUCUGGAAAGUCCCCGCUCCGUUGAGCAGAGCGAUUUCACCCCCCACGCGGCGGGCCGCCUGCGCACCCUUUACGCCCAGUAACUCCGGACAACGCUCGCCUCCUACGUAUUACCGCGGCUGCUGGCAC